rnacentral:rRNA from 1 species
GCUCAGAUUGAACGCUGGCGGCAGGCCUAACACAUACAAGUCGAGCGGCAGCACGGGAAGCUUGCUUCCUGGUGGCGAGCGGCGGACGGGUGAGUAAUGCAUAGAAAUCUGCCCGGUAGUGGGGGAUAACCUGGGGAAACCCAGGCUAAUACCGCAUACGUCCUACGGGAGAAAGCAGGGGAUCUUCGGACCUUGCGCUAUCGGAUGAGUCUAUGUCGGAUUAGCUUGUUGGUGAGGUAAUGGCUCACCAAGGCGACGAUCCGUAGCUGGUCUGAGAGGAUGAUCAGCCACAUCGGGACUGAGACACGGCCCGAACUCCUACGGGAGGCAGCAGUA